rnacentral:rRNA from 1 species
AAAUUGAAGAGUUUGAUCAUGGCUCAGAUUGAACGCUGGCGGCAGGCCUAACACAUGCAAGUCGAACGGUAACAGAAAGCAGCUUGCUGCUUUGCUGACGAGUGGCGGACGGGUGAGUAAUGUCUGGGAAACUGCCUGAUGGAGGGGGAUAACUACUGGAAACGGUAGCUAAUACCGCAUAACGUCGCAAGACCAAAGAGGGGGACCUUCGGGCCUCUUGCCAUCGGAUGUGCCCAGAUGGGAUUAGCUUGUUGGUGGGGUAACGGCUCACCAAGGCGACGAUCCCUAGCUGGUCUGAGAGGAUGACCAGCCACACUGGAACUGAGACACGGUCCAGACUCCUACGGGAGGCAGCAGUGGGGAAUAUUGCACAAUGGGCGCAAGCCUGAUGCAGCCAUGCCGCGUGUAUGAAGAAGGCCUUCGGGUUGUAAAGUACUUUCAGCG